GCCCUUGUAGCUCAGCUGGUAGAGCACCUGAUUUGUAAUCAGGUGGCCGGGAGUUCGAGACUCUCCGGGGGCACCA
rnacentral:tRNA from 1 species